rnacentral:rRNA from 1 species
AGGGUGGGAGCAUCAGGAUAGAUCCUUGGUAGUCCACGCGGUAACGAUGAGUGCUAAGUGUUAGAGGGUUUCCGCCCUUUAGUGCUGAAGUUAACGCAUUAAGCACUCCGCCUGGGGAGUACGGCCGCAAGGCUGAAACUCAAAGGAAUUGACGGGGGCCCGCACAAGCGGUGGAGCAUGUGGUUUAAUUCGAAGCAACGCGAAGAACCUUACCAGGUCUUGACAUCCUCUGAAAACCCUAGAGAUAGGGCUUCUCCUUCGGGAGCAGAGUGACAGGUGGUGCAUGGUUGUCGUCAGCUCGUGUCGUGAGAUGUUGGGUUAAGUCCCGCAACGAGCGCAACCCUUGAUCUUAGUUGCCAUCAUUAAGUUGGGCACUCUAAGGUGACUGCCGGUGACAAACCGGAGGAAGGUGGGGAUGACGUCAAAUCAUCAUGCCCCUUAUGACCUGGGCUACACACGUGCUACAAUGGACGGUACAAAGAGCUGCAAGACCGCGAGGUGGAGCUAAUCUCAUAAAACCGUUCUCAGUUCGGAUUGUAGGCUGCAACUCGCCUACAUGAAGCUGGAAUCGCUAGUAAUCGCGGUUCAAAGGGCCGCGGUGAAUACGUUCCCGGGCCUUGUACAC